GACGAACGCUGGCGGCGUGCUUAACACAUGCAAGUCGAACGGAAAGGCCCUGCUUUUGUGGGGUGCUCGAGUGGCGAACGGGUGAGUAACACGUGAGUAACCUGCCCUUGACUUUGGGAUAACUUCAGGAAACUGGGGCUAAUACCGGAUAGGAGCUCCUGCUGCAUGGUGGGGGUUGGAAAGUUUCGGCGGUUGGGGAUGGACUCGCGGCUUAUCAGCUUGUUGGUGGGGUAGUGGCUUACCAAGGCUUUGACGGGUAGCCGGCCUGAGAGGGUGACCGGCCAAAGGGGGCUGGGAGAAGGGCCCGAACCCAAACGGGGGGCAGCGGGGGGAAAAUUUCCAAAAGGGGCGGAGGCCGUAGGCAACACACCCGGGUGGGGGAUGCCGGCUUUGGGGUGGUAACCCCUUUUCGCUUGUAAAGAAGGGUGGGGAAGGUAAAUGGGUAAAAAACCACGGGCAACUUCCUG
rnacentral:rRNA from 1 species